CUUGUUGAAGAUUCACUUCGUGGGCACUUGUUGAGUGAGCGGUGAUCCUAGUUCUAUCAGAUGAUACGGCAGUGGAAGAAAUUGUUGAAAAAGCAAUCACUGGCUUUACAGUGCACUUUCUUGUUGACUAUGACACAGCUGAAUUAUAUUGUACGAAUAAUUGAUAGAAUUGACUUAUUGAAAGUUCGGCAGCGGGAGAUCUUGUGACCAGCCCGGACGAUUUCUGGUGACCAACUUGGAGGAUAUCUGGCGAUCAACUUGAUUGAAGUUUUUCCACUGAAUCUGGAGUGGCUCUUGGGCAUGUCCUGCCCAUUCUGUGACUUUGAAGAGACUCCCAGAGAAAAGAUGAUUUUUCCCGUUCUUUCCCCAGUCACAUUCCUUACUUCUUUGGUUUCCACCCACCUGUGUGUUAUCGGAUUUUUCUCCAUCAUAAUUUUCGUGUGUUUAUUUUUCUUUAUUAAGUCGAAGAGGAUGGAGAACCUUGGACUUGUGAGAACGGCAAACAAAUGAUUGUUUUUACAUUGUAGAUGUCAC
rnacentral:lncRNA from 1 species